CAAUAGAGGUUACAGGUUAGACCACGAUUAGCUUAAAUUAGGGAAUUUAAUUAGAUGAUACCUCCCACAGUCUCAGAUAUAGUCGCAGUUACAGUCCCAGCCCAGUUUUCAGUCUUAGUGUUGUUUGACCAAACCAUACGGAUUUCAUUUAUCUCAGUAUAUCAGUUUACAAAUUUUACUUAGUUCGUGUUUUAUGCUUGGU
rnacentral:lncRNA from 1 species